rnacentral:lncRNA from 1 species
GGGGGCCUGAGGGGAGCCGGCGGCGGCGGGAGGGGGCGGCGGCCGUGGCCUCACGGAUUCGGUGCCGCCGCUGCUCAGCGCCGCGGGGGGAUGCCUGUCCCGUCCUGUUCCCGGCGGUGUCACAGGUGACAGGAUCACCUACCUGGACACGGAGCGGGAGGGGACAACUGUCCCACAGGAUGUAGGAGUGCCACGGCUCCACAGCAUGCCUGUUCCAUCCCACCGUCCCCCCCUGCUGCUGCCUGGACUCCCAGCUGACCUCUCCCCGCCUCCCCCAUGAGUGCAGCCCUCCAAUAAAGCCUCUGCCCCCCAACUUUGUCU